UGAAUUGACGGGGCCCGCACAAGCGGUGGAGCAUGUGGUUAAUUCGAUGCAACGCGAAGAACCUUACCUGGGCUUGACAUCCCUGGAAUCCCCCUGGAAACAGGGGAGUGCCCUUCGGGGAGCCAGGAGACAGGUGCUGCAUGGCUGUCGUCAGCUCGUGUCGUGAGAUGUUGGGUUAAGUCCCGCAACGAGCGCAACCCUUGUCUUAAUUGCCAUCAUUCAGUUGGGCACUUUAAAGAGACUGCCGGUGUUAAACCGGAGGAGGGUGGGGAUGACGUCAAGUCCUCAUGGCCUUUAUGACCAGGGCUACACACGUACUACAAUGGCCGGUACAAAGGGCAGCGACACAGCGAUGUGAAGCGAAUCCCGAAAAACCGGUCUCAGUUCGGAUUGGAGUCUGCAACUCGACUCCAUGAAGUUGGAAUCGCUAGUAAUCGUGGAUCAGCAUGCCACGGUCGAAUACGUUCCCGGGCCUU
rnacentral:rRNA from 1 species